GUGUGCUCUUCUUUUCCUGUUCUUCCAAACUGAUGCACUGUUUCUCCCUUUUUUACAGUUUUUAUGAGUCACAUUCUCCUCUGAAUUUACAGUAGUAAAAAAUCUGGUGUCAUUGGAUUUACACAAAAUUAGCUGGUCAGAAGUGCUCUCCUGGCAGCUGAGCUGGGCUAUUGGGAUUGCUAUCAGCAGCUAUCAUCCAUCCUCGGGUGGAUGCUACUGCCCCUGCAGUAUUUCUGACCUCAGCUGUUGGCAGGGCAACACACUGACUGAUUCAGUAAAGCCAGGUACCUCAGCUAACACAGCACAAAUCUGCAUGCUUGGUUAUGCCCACGGAUCUUGGAGAGGCCAUAACGUUGAGGGGGAGGAGGAGAUGAGCAGCUUCAACAGCUCCAGUCAGAGCUGCAGCAGAGAAUCAGGGCUGCUUCCUCACCUAAUGGACUGAGUUCAUUCACCAGACACCUGAGGACUGCAGAGAAGCUCUCUCAACAACACCAUUUACAAUAUAGAUGGAGAGGAUACAUGUUGUGUGACAGUAAUAAGGGACACCAGAGUUUAUUUGUAGUCAGUACCAGAAGAGACUUAUAGAGGUAUUUGUUUUCCUCAGGAAGACACUGUGUUU